AUGAGAGGCGACUCUGAGUCUGAGGUCUUGUCAGUUGCCAUCAAGAACCCCAAGCUUGGGCAACGCCUCCUCAACGUGCAGGACAAGGAUGGAAGCCUACUCCGUGGUGCACAGCCUGAAUUGAUGGAAGAUCUCAUCCAUUCUUUGAAGAAUGGAGAUGAAAGCAGGAUACAAGCCUUAUUGAGUGAAGUAGCAGACAAGUCAAUGCCGAUUGAAGAUGAGGAAGUGGGGGAGUUACCUCACGAAGAAGAGGGUGAGGAAAAUCAAGAGUAUAUGGAAAUUGCAGAUAGAUGGUUUGAGGGCCUCGUCUGCCAAGACAUUCCAGUUACCAACGAAGUUUAUGCGAUUCAUAAUGUUGAAUUUGAUCGUCAGGUAUUAUAUGCGCACACUUUAAAUGUUCAUUGGAUGGCAUAA
rnacentral:rRNA from 1 species